AUGAGGGAAGAGUGUCUGUUCACUGGAGAUACUGAAGGAAUUACAGAAGAGCAUGGUAGUGUAGUGCGGUUGGUGAACGGGUUUCUGCUGGUGGGUUCUGAGCUCUUGGCUUGUCCUUGGGAGACUUCAUUUCAUGCUGUCCUCUUCUGCAGUCGAAGUGGGAAGAAGAAUAAUGCCUGGCCGACAGAAUAUCAUCAAAGGACACAGGUGCUGCUUCUCCACAGACAAGAAUCCACAAGCUGCCUGUUCUUUAAACUGCUGUGGCAGGUAGUCUGGUGUCAGCAACGGGAGUGGUUCCUCUGACACACAGAGGAAUAGGCUGCCAGGAGGAGUCUUGUUGGGCUUGCAGAGGUGAGCUUGGGCUGUGGGGAACUGGGAAGCAAGAGAACACAGUCCUACCGUUCUGUCACUUCCCUCAGCAGUGCACCACAGAAGGAAUCUGCUCAAGUACCAAGGGUCAUCUGUGGUCCUCGGGGUCAUGGUGUGGGUCUCCAAGCUCGGCCAGUUGCUGAUAAGAAGAGUUCAUCAAGUCCUCAGGGCCUUGAAUAAGAGAAGGUCUAGUUCAUAUCUUCAGGUGAAAAUGAGUAUAUUACGUGAGGACUUUGUCCAGAAGCCGUUAUUUCUGUGCUCUAGAUCUAAUUCCCACAAUGUUUAUGUGUGGUGACCUGCAGUUUGUUUUUGUUUGUUUGUUUGUUUGUUUGUUUAAAGAUUCUGGAACAGAUCUUGGUUGUUUUAGAAACUACUAUAUUUUAUUUAAAUAAUAACUGUCCCAAAAUUUCUUCCUACCCUCUUAUUUCAUACAAGAUCCUUCUAGUCUAUCUUCAUCCCUCAUCCCUCAUUGUCUCAUUGAAAGUUCAUGUGACUUCUGCUUGGUCAAAUCUUGGAAGACUGCAUUACUGCCCUUUUUCUGCCAUUAACAAUCGUCUCAUCAUUCACCUCCACAAGUUGUCAUUCACCUUCCAGAUAUCCAGUAAUUCAUAUGAAAAAUUGUUCUCAGAGAGUUUUUUGCAAAGGUCUCACCAAGAUUUGUGUCACCCCCCUUUGCUUCUCUCUUCACAUAAGAUUCUUCACAUAAGUUUCUCCUGGUGACAAUUAAAGAUACUCCCAUCACUGCUGCCCACAAGCUACCAGAGCUAACAAAUCCUAGGGAAGAGUGAGACACAAUGUCACUGGAAAACCCAUGACACAAACUCCUUCUAAGUAGCAGAAAGUCACUGUCUUAUACAAAAAGACAAAACUUGGUUUUGUAGAGAAUAAAAGUUAAUUGAUAUCUUGGAACA
rnacentral:lncRNA from 1 species